ensembl:snoRNA
GUUGUCACCAGGGCUCGGCCGCUCCCCGUGGCCCCCCCUGACGGCGUGAGCAAGAGAAACAGGACUGCUUUGGGAGUGUCCUGUCUGAGUGGACGCGGGGGACCACGGUUUUCAGUCCGACA